rnacentral:lncRNA from 1 species
GGUACAUAUAACAUCAGUUUAUCCAAAAGCCUCUGCUGGCUCAAAUGUUUAGGAUGCUAUAACAGAAUGAUAGGUUCCUUGUUUUCCUAGCUUGAGGAAGAUACACAUGCAUGCAUACAUUUUUAUUUGCAUGCCUGGUCUUUCACUAUGCUCACAUACAUAAAGUUCUCAUAGACCAAUAUUUUUUCACUUGUAUUUUCUCAGUAUUUACAUAAUGGUCCUUUAUUAGCCAGUCAGGAUCCUCCAUGCUUCACCAACUAACUAUGCUACAUUAGAUUAGAUACUUACUUUUUCUCAGUCUCAGUUGCUGUGUUUGUGAACACGAUGUGGAUGAGGUGGGUAAUCACUGAAGUUAUUGCAGUUCAAGACCUUCAUUCAUUCAGUAUGCAUAUAAAUGCAGAUGGUCUUCUGAGCACAGAACUUCAUUCAUUCAGUCUGCAUCUAUAUGCAGAUGGUCUUCUCUGCCUAGACUCUGAACAUCACUGAACUUCACGGUGACAAAGACAAAAUGACCUGUUCUUCUACUUUCAUGGAACAGCUGCUCUCUUUUUAAAGAAAAUUGAAGGGUAAAAUAAAUAUUUUAAGAGGCAAGUUAAUGUCAUGAGAGGAGUAUAGUAGACAGUGGUAGAGAGAAGCCAGAGCAAAAAUUAGAAUUGUAUUUUGGGAACCCGUUUAGAUAAUCCUUUAUUGAACGGGCAAAUGGUCAUGGUAAGACAUGACCAAGAAAAUGGGAAGCCAGUUUGAUGAUUUGGGAGGUGACAUUUGACAAAAUAAAAACAUUAUUGGAAAAUUUCGACACUUUAUUUUCUAUAGUACUAUUGUAUCAGAUAUUUAUAGCCACUUUCCAAAAUAGAUAAGAAAAGUAAAGUUGCUUUAAAGAAUAAAGCAAAAGGUCAUGGGGGGGCUUAAAGUUUGAAUUUUGAUUUUCGGUGCCUGAUUUCAUGUGUUUUUCAUUAAAAAAAAAGUUCACUGUAUACGGAUUUAGAGCAUUUUCAUUUCCAGUUGCCCAUUUCAGACUGAAAAAAUAUAUACUGGCUUGAGGAUUUGAGGGUUAAAAGAAUCAAGAACCAAAUAAAUUUGAGUAAAAUGUUUGAAGAUUAUAAAACUAUUUGAUCUAAUGUGUUUACUAGGCAGAAAGGAAAACUGCAGCGCAGAAAAGAGAAAAGCUUUCAGAAUAGAUGAGUCCUCCCCCUUCUCGUCUUCCCUCCCUCCUUCCAUCCUUCCCUCCCUUCUUCCCCCAUUCUCUCCCUCCUUACCUCCCUUUCUCCCUCCCUACCUCCAUCCUUCUUCCUCCCUCCUUCAUUUGCAGUCUUCUUCCUUUCUAUCUUUCUUCCUCUCUCCUUCACCCCUUCCUCUCCCUUUUCUUUUUUCUUUAUGUGGUGAUAGGAUCACAUCCAAACCAUUGGAAAUCUAUUUAUAGUAUUCGAUCUUUUGUUACCCCCUUUGGGCUAUUUUUGCAUACUUUCUGCAUAUCAAUGUUUAGGGUUCCCCCCCCCCCCACUAUGUAUUUAUUUAGAUUAUCUAAGUCAAUUUUCAUUUUGCUAUUUCCUGUUGCUGAUUAUAGAGGUCUUGGUGUUUCAGGCAUCAUUUGUUCAUAUAUUCACAUCUAUUUUGUUGUCACUAAUAAUUCAUAUGGUAUGAAUUGUCCUCACUCUUUGGUAUCAUGAAAUGUAAUUGGAGCUCCAAAUAGAGAUAGAUAGAAAAUUAUUUUGGUCUUGGACUAUUGGGGUCUAUUAGAUGUGUAGUCAUUUGUUUAGAUCUCUAUCUUUGCUACAAUUUUUUCAGUCCAUUUAAAUAAAUACACUAAAUUCAAGGUGAUGUCAACACACCUUCAAUUCUAAUUCAGAAGACUGCCAAAUCUCUUUAUUAAAUUUCAGUACAAUAUGUAUUCCCUUUUCUAUCCAGAUUCUCUAUUUCUUUUCAAAAUGGCCAAAAGGAAGAAAAUAAAACAAUGUUUUGAACAUAUGGUGGAUCACAAAGAACCAUGUUACUGACUAGUUACAGAGUUGCACUGUUGCAAUUAUGUAUGCCAGAGCUUGGCCUAGACCUUCCUUUAAAUUUUUCAUUAAAUUCUUUAUGUAGAAUAAUUUGUUAAAAUAACUUGAAAUCAGAUUUGGUACUCAUUCUGGGCUUUUAUUUGUUUGUUUGUUUUGUUUUGUGUUGUUGUAGAAAGUGUAUUACUCUAUAACCAAGUAUCGUAGGUUUUUGCCAGCUUGACAAAACCUAGAUACAUCUGGGAGGAGGGGAAUCUCUGUUAAGGACUUGCCUCUAUCAUAUUGGCCUGUGGGUAUCUCUAUGGGCAAAUUUUCUUAAUUAGUUGUUGAUGUAGGAAGGUUCAUCCCACUGUGUAGAAUACCAUCCUUGGGCACAUGGAGCUGGCCUGUAGCAUGAAAGUUACCUAAGCAUGAGCCAAGAAACAAGCCAGUAAGCAGCAUUCCUCUAUGGUCUCUAGUUCAGGUCCUAGCUCUAGUUUCCUGACUUGAGUUCCUACUCUGGUAUUUCUCAAUGGUACACUGGGAUCUGGAAAUAUAAGCCAUACAAACCCUUCCUUCUCCUUUAUACAAAAACAGUGUUUUGUGGAGCUGGAGAAAUGACUUAGCACUUAAGAGCUCUUGCAGAGUAUUGGGGUUUCCAGACUCCAUGUUAGGUGAUUCAGAAUGGCUCAGACAUCCAGUUUGAGAGGAGAUCCUAGCCCCUGACCUCCACAGGCACCUUCAUGCACCUGGUGCAUAUAAACUCACCUAGGUAUAUACACAUAAACAAAAACAGAGAAAGAAAUCCUUUUAAAGUUUCAUUGAGAUGUUAACUCUCCCUUUUCAUCCCCUUAUAUCCUCUUCAGCCUUGUCCCUUUUCCACAGUCAUAGCUUUUAGUUUUUUAGUGACUCUAUCACUUAGGAAUACCUGGUACAAGCCCUUAAGCCCCUAAGAUAUAGAAAGUUGAAAUGACAUGUAUAACAUUAACCAAUAAUCUGAGUCAGCUCAUUAGAUAGUUUGAAUCCAGGGUUCUGAUUUUAAAAGAAAGAACUCUUCACAAUACAUAUACUUUAGGCUUUGCCUAGAUUUUAGUGAAAAAUCUGUCACUUGGUCUUCAACGCUGUAGUAGGUUUAACAAUUCCUGCCUAUCUCAAGAAGAGGGUUUAUCAUGUGCUUUCGGGAUGCAGGGGCAGAGUAUUUCAUUCUAACAUUCUGUACAGAUGAGAACAUGACAUGAAGACUAUGCAGAGAUGACAAGUUGCCUGUCCACACACAGAAGGCCUCACACUCUUGAAACUAAGCUCAUUUCCUCCAAGUUAAAAAGAAAGUUUCGCCUUUAAACUGCCUAAAAACUCAGUUGAGAAAGGUUGACCUUCUCAGUUCCCAUCAAGUAUUCUUUCUGGGUAGACAGAUUUCUAAAUGUACCAUUUAAUCUAUAAGAAUGAAUAUGAGAUGGUGAAUUCCUCUUUGGUAGGAGAAGAUGGUUAAAGGAGAGAGAGAUCAGUCUGUCUAGUAUAAGAUUCACUGUAAGCCAGUCCUUUAUUGUGCCUCAGUUCUUUCUCCUUCAUCCUGAGACAAAACCUUUUAUUU